AUUGAACGCUGGCGGCAGGCUUAACACAUGCAAGUCGAGCGGGGUGAUGGUGCUUGCACUAUCACUUAGCGGCGGACGGGUGAGUAAUGCUUAGGAAUCUGCCUAUUAGUGCGGGACAACAUCUCGAAAGGGAUGCUAAUACCGCAUACGUCCUACGGGAGAAAGCAGGGGAUCACUUGUGACCUUGCGCUAAUAGAUGAGCCUAAGUCGGAUUAGCUAGUUGGUGGGGUAAAGGACUACCACGGCGACGAUCUGUAGCGGGUCUGAGAGGAUGAUCCGCCACACUGGGACUGAGACACGGCCCAGACUCCUACGGGAGGCAGCAGUGGGGAAUAUUGGACAAUGGGGGGAACCCUGAUCCAGCCAUGCCGCGUGUGUGAAGAAGGCCUUAUGGUUGUAAAGCACUUUAAGCGAGGAGGAGGCUCUUUUGGUUAAUACCCAAGAUGAGUGGACGUUACUCGCAGAAUAAGCACCGGCUAACUCUGUGCCAGCAGCCGCGGUAA
rnacentral:rRNA from 1 species